GACGAACGCUGGCGGCGUGCUUAACACAUGCAAGUCGAACGGAAAGGCCCUGCUUGCAGGGUACUCGAGUGGCGAACGGGUGAGUAACACGUGGGUGAUCUGCCCUGCACUUCGGGAUAAGCCUGGGAAACUGGGUCUAAUACCGGAUAGGAGCCAUUUUUAGUGUGAUGGUUGGAAAGUUUUUUCGGUGUAGGAUGAGCUCGCGGCCUAUCAGCUUGUUGGUGGGGUAAUGGCCUACCAAGGCGGCGACGGGUAGCCGGCCUGAGAGGGUGGACGGCCACGUUGGGGGGGGGGGGCGGGCCAGGCGCGGAGGGGGGGGAGCGGGGGGGAAGAGUGCGCAAGGGGGGCAAGGCGGAUGCAGCGAGGCCGCGUGGGGGAUGACGGGCUUCGGGUGGUAGACGCCUUUCGCUAGGGACGAAGCGGUUUGUGACGGUACCUAGAGAAGAAGCAGCGGCUAACUACGUG
rnacentral:rRNA from 1 species